rnacentral:tRNA from 1 species
AUUCUAGUAGUUUAAGUAAAAACACUGGUCUUGUAAACCAAUAAAGAAGUCUACCACCUUCCUAGAAUA